rnacentral:rRNA from 1 species
AUUGAACGCUGGCGGCAGGCCUAACACAUGCAAGUCGAACGGUAACAGGAAGAAGCUUGCUUCUUUGCUGACGAGUGGCGGACGGGUGAGUAAUGUCUGGGAAACUGCCUGAUGGAGGGGGAUAACUACUGGAAACGGUAGCUAAUACCGCAUAACGUCGCAAGACCAAAGAGGGGGACCUUCGGGCCUCUUGCCAUCGGAUGUGCCCUGAUGGGAUUAGCUAGUAGGUGGGGUAACGGCUCACCUAGGCGACGAUCCCUAGCUGGUCUGAGAGGAUGACCAGCCACACUGGAACUGAGACACGGUCCAGACUCCUACGGGAGGCAGCAGUGGGGAAUAUUGCACAAUGGGCGCAAGCCUGAUGCAGCCAUGCCGCGUGUAUGAAGAAGGCCUUCGGGUUGUAAAGUACUUUCAGCGGGGAGGAAGGGAGUAAAGUUAAUACCUUUGCUCAUUGACGUUACCCGAAGAAGAAGCACCGGCUAACUCCGUG